rnacentral:rRNA from 1 species
GUAGGGAAUAUUGGGCAAUGGAGGCAACUCUGACCCAGCCAUGCCGCGUGCAGGAUGACGGCCCUCUGGGUUGUAAACUGCUUUUAUACGGGAAGAAAAAAUACUACGUGUAGUAUACUGACGGUACCGUAAGAAUAAGGAUCGGCUAACUCCGUGCCAGCAGCCGCGGUAAUACGGAGGAUCCAAGCGUUGUCCGGAUUUAUUGGGUUUAAAGGGUGCGUAGGCGGAUCUUUAAGUCAGUGGUGAAAGCCUGCAGCUUAACUGCAGAAUUGCCAUUGAAACUGAAGAUCUUGAAUGUGGUUAAAGUAGGCGGAAUGUAUCAUGUAGCGGUGAAAUGCUUAGAUAUGAUACAGAACACCGAUAGCGAAGGCAGCUUGCUGAACCAUUAUUGACGCUGAGGCACGAAAGCGUGGGGAGCGAACAGGAUUAGAAACCCGGGUAGUCC